AAGCAAACAAUAGGGCACCUCUCUCCUGGCAAGUAAAUAGUUAGCAUAGAGCUCACUGCAAAUAACUUGCCAAAGGAGAGUUGCCCUGUCGUUUCUUU
rnacentral:pre_miRNA from 1 species